GACCGUCAGAAACGUCUCCACAGCCCUGGUGCCACGGGCUCUUCCCUCACCCUGGGACCACUCUCCUUCCCCGGACUGAGGGAAGUAUCCCCAACCCUACUUCAUGCCACGGUCUGGCACUUAUCCGUGGUACCCCUUGAAACAGCGAGGAAACAAUUUCAGCUCUUACUGGAGGACCUGGAAGUUCUAGAUUUUCUAGGUUUUCUCAGGAUUGCACUGCUCAGUGUGGAACGCUUGCAGUGAAAUGGUGAUGACUACUGAAUGUGUGCUGGGUGCAGUAUACACCAAGUACUGUACACAUCUAUAUGUGGUCAGAGACCAGUGAAUCUUGCUAGAAUGUACAAUGUUAGAAGGAAUGCUAAAAGCACAUUCCUCACCCAGAAGAACAUGCAUGAAAAAGUGUGAAUUCAGAACCUGAGGAGUCAAUGAAAAUGAAGAUGGAGGGGUCUGGGUUUUAAGAUUGCACAUAGCAGUGAAGAAGAUGAAUAACUAGCGCUUUAAGGUUAAUGCAGUUUGUUUUCACUUUGUCUGAGACUAGAACUGAGAUGUAGGAACUUAAGCUAAAAAAGCAUGCUGUCA